rnacentral:rRNA from 1 species
AUUGAACGCUGGCGGCAUGCCUUACACAUGCAAGUCGAACGGUAACGCGGGGGCAACCCUGGCGACGAGUGGCGAACGGGUGAGUAAUACAUCGGAACGUACCCAGUAGUGGGGGAUAGCUCGGCGAAAGCCGGAUUAAUACCGCAUACGACCUAUGGGUGAAAGCGGGGGAUCGCAAGACCUCGCGCUAUUGGAGCGGCCGAUGUCGGAUUAGCUAGUUGGUGAGGUAAAAGCNCACCAAGGCUACGAUCCGUAGCUGGUCUGAGAGGACGACCAGCCACACUGGGACUGAGACACGGCCCAGACUCCUACGGGAGGCAGCAGGUGGGGAAUUUUGGACAAGUGGGCGAAAGCCUGAUCCAGCCAUGCCGCGUGUGUG